UCAUCUCACGAACAUGAACAUUUUUUAUUUUUUGUAAACUCGAACAUGAACAUUUAUGCAUCCAUGUUUAGUGAAAUCCUAAUAUAUAAAAGGAGCUAAAUUCUUGCUUCCUAAGCCUAUCCACAUGUGCACAAAUAUUCAGGACCAACCAAUAUGCCAGGUCAUCACGAAGUGGGCUUGCCAUUAAAAAAAACGAAAUCUUCGCGGCCCAGUCCCUAGCCUCAUCUCGCAGUCUCUCUUGAUACGGAUUUUGUCACAGUCCAUUAAAACCAACUCCCAGACCAAUCCAGAGACGCUCUUACGGUUCGGGUUAUAUCGCCCCUUUCUCUGAAAUCAUCAUCCCUAACCCUAAGCGCCGUCUCGAUCUCUUUCUCGAUUCUCUUCCUCUCCCCCGACUCAUCCCCCAUAACGCCUCCGACGAGAGUUCUGGUACUUCAAUGUGCUCUCAUAAAUCCUCCAUUCAAGAUCCCUACAGACCUUCCACAUCCCCUCUCCGUCUUGAUGAUAUCUAGAUCCCUAUUUAUACCCUUAUCCCAGAUCGUAAAAUCCAUACCCGUACCUCAGAUCGUAAAAUAUAUACCCUCAUCAUGGCGAAUACGGCGAAAACGACUGCGAUCCGCACCGGAAAAGCUUCUCCUCCUCUCCUCUUCCGACAUGUUUCACCAGGACCAGACGAUUCCACCUUGAAGUUUAGGCUUCUUCAUUUCUGGGAAGCUCGCAAGAAUGUCAAAGGAGGACCAGGGAUCCUUCUUGGGAUCGAGAUGCUUAUGAUCGAUGCGGAGGUAUGUCUUCAUUUUUCAUUAUAUUAGCGAACAUUAGGUUGAGAUGUUAGCGUAUGUUGGAAAACAAAAAUUUGAUUGAUUAAAAUAAAAACUUGAUUGAUUCAUAAAAAACUUGAUUGAUUAAAAUAAAAACUUGAUUGAUUCGUUUGAAUUAUAUUACCGUCUCUUUCAUUGGUUUUCCUUGGCCACUUUUGGAGAAAAAAAAUUGAUUGAUUCGUUUAAAUUAUAUUAGCGUAUCUUCGAUUGAUUAGAGAAAUUUGUUUCUAUUGCUUUAAACGCUUAAUAAUUUUAAUCACUCUGAAAAAACACUUGGUUUAGCUUAUCUUUUAUUAUAUAUUAGCUUAUCUUUGAUUGGUUUUUCUCUUUCAUUAUUCACUUGAGAGUGCUUUGAUAGAGAUCGGAUAAAUAUUUGAACGCUUAUAAUUUUAGUUGAACGCUUUCAACUGACUCGAUAUUGUAUCUCUGUUUUGUAGGGUACUUUGGCUCAGGCGUUCAUCGGUCAGAACCGUCGCAACCAGUAUGAGAAAGAGUUCCAGCGUGGGAGCAUCUACACACUGACAAACUUCUAUGCAUCCAACAGCAAGGUGAUGUACCAUGUUGCUGAUCAGAGGCUGGUAAUUUGCAUCUCACACGCUUCUGCCCUGUCAAAGGAUGAAGAAGACAUUGAAGGCAUUUUGACAGAGCGCUUCAGGGUCCGUUCCUUUUCAGAAUUUGAAGCCAACUGCGAUCUCAGAGGGGAUCUUCACGGUACGGUUUAAAUAUUUUCUUAUCAUGUUUAACCAUUCCAAUCGGUUAACUUUGUAUUGCGUGUAACUGUUUGUUGUAGAUGUAGUUGGCCACCUUAAGCUGGUUGAUGGCCAGACUCUCCAUCAGCGUCCGGUUUUGUGCACCAAUGAUGACUCAGCUUCUCAGAAAGUGAUGGUCCAUUUGCAGCUUAAAAAGUAAGAUGUUGUAGUUCGACCAAUACAGAAAUAUCAUUUUCUAAUUUAUGAUUCUUACUUAAAUUAAACAUCUACUCUUUGUUAACUGCAGCGGUCCAGUGAUGAACGUCUAUCUAUGGGACGAGGCCGCUGAAAGUUUCCGCCUCAAGUUUGACGCAAGUGCAGCCACUCCAACUGUUCUAUUGGUCACAACGGUCAAUCCUAAGAGGCUCGGUGGUAAUCUCUCACACUCAAUAUAAGAAUUCCUCAUCACUCACACUCAGUUAGAUAAACCUACCACUAACUGUUUCUAUAUUGACAGGGAAAUUGUACCUAAGUUCAAUGUCCUCUUCAAGAAUGUUUUUGGAUGAAGAGGUUGACCCCACCAAUGAAUACUUGGCCUGGUUAGUAUCUUAUUUUUUUAGAAACAAUCUAUAGCUUAGACUAUUAUGUGUUUAACACCUUUGAUGAUCUCCUGAUUUAAAAUUCUUUGCAAGGUUGACCACGAACCCUUCUGUAACUUCUUUGGUGAACCCUGUUGAGGUGGUCAAAGCUGAGACUCUCACAAUAGGUGAGAUUGCCACCUUCCUCAAGCGUCAGCCUGCUCAGGUUGCCUACUUUGACUGCAUUGCCACAAUUGAUGAUGUCAAGCUUGACACUGAGUGGUAUUACAUUGCUUGCAAGGAUUGCCAGACCAAGUUAAACCGUGGGCCGACAACAUUGCUUUGUCCAAAAUGCGGGAAUGAAAAUGCUACUGCAGUAGCCAACUAUCGGGUGGAGCUGUCUGUCUAUGAUAAUGAUGAGCAGUGCACGUUCAUCAUUCUCGGAGAUGCUGGGAAAGAUCUCACAGGCAGGAAAGCAACAGAGUUGAUCGAUGCUUAUGUUCAGGUAAUUGUUGUUCUGAUGAUAAAUGAUAAUUUCCAUAAUCUUGACACUUAUUUUAAUCAUAGAGUCUACCAAGUUGAUAAAUGUAUUUUGUUAUAUUAGGAAAAUGGUGGAGAUGCGGCUGAGCUUGAAGUUUCACUGCCACAGUGUUUCAUUGAUACAAUAGGCCAGACAAAGAAAUUCAGGAUCAAGGUGGCUCACUACAACUUCACUUCUACCCAACUGUCCUUGACCGCUAUCAAGAUAGUCUCACCAGCAGAGUUACCACCAAAGAAUCCCCCACUCAAGACGCCACCAGGAACUGAAGUGGAGAACACAGAGUUGGCUGAGAGUAGUGGUGGUGGUGCUUCAGCUAUUGACGACCAGAAGGAAGCAAAGCGUACCAAGCGUAGUGGCUAGAUCACAUGCAGAAUGGUUACUCUAUCAGUGGCUGGUACAGACUGCCCAGUCAGGAUGAUUCUCUAAUAACAGUCUACUUAUCUCUCUUUAAUCAGUUUGUUUUUGCUUCUUGCUAAGACAGUUUAGGAUUGGAAACACGUUAUGGUUUGGUUUUCUUAUUUGAGUUAUUUGGUUUUUAUUCAUAGCUUUGUUAUGAAGUUUAAGAAUGAUCAACAUUAUCAUAUUAAAAUUGUUUGGUUUUCAUUCCUAACUUAUUAAAGUUGUUUGAUCAGCAUGCAUUUUACAUACGUAUACGUAAUUAAGAACCUAAUGCAUGCAUGGAUUGGUUUAUGUCCAUGCUGAUAUUAAUUUAAUUAAAGCAACUGUAAUAUUAGCUGCAUACUGAUUCGUAUACGUUGUUGGAGGUUUUUUGAAUUUAUAAAUUCAUUUUUGAAUUAAAACAUUGUUAGUAUUGAUAUAUUAAUUUAAUACUUUAAUUCAAACUUACUGUUGUUUUAAAAAAAAAAAAACUGAUCACCGCUUCCAACAUCUUCGCAUUAUAAAAUAAACAAAACUUAGCUUUCCCUUUCAAAAACUUCAAAACUCCAAAUCCGCGCGAAACGCGGACACCGACCCUAGUGUCUAAUAAACAGGGGAAAACAUAUAUACUACAAAAGUUACAAAAAAUAAAUAUACUACAAUGUAACAAAAUUAUGUGACGUAAAAAGGACAGAUCACAUUGAUGUCGUAUGAGCUUUACAUAAGCUAAUCAAAAGCCACUAAGGAGAUUUUGUUGGAUGGCUCGUCGUAUCUGAUCCAUAUAUAUUAAUGUAAAGUCACAUCGUCUAAGACUGCGACUCUACGGGUGUGGUUGUAUGGUAUAAUUAGAAUAAAUAAAGUAGGUGAAAAAAAAUUUCAACCUGUUUACUUUUAUUUUACCCAAUCAAGUAGAAAAUGAUUUCAGCUCGUUUAUAGGUGAAAAAUCUACUCUAUUAAAAUAUAGUCCUAUUUUUGUCCACCAUGAAAGUUGUCAUUUAAGUUUUGAACUUAUUCAUAAUUCUACCAUUUAAUAUACACAUUGAUUAUACAAUAUUCUUAAUAUUGACUUAAUUACUUAAUCUACUAAUAGUAUAUGAUAUUAAUUGGGUUAAGAAUCUGUAUUAUACCACAUUUUGUGGAAAAAUUGUUAAGUCUUUACGUAAAGACUUAAGAAACAGUUAGAGUUUAUACAAAUAGUUUAUCACAGGUAAUCUUAAUUUACCAUAUUAAAAAUUAUUUGAAUAAAUAUCAAACAGUAAAGGAAAGUAAGUUAUUCACCAUAAUAAAUCUGCACGGAUAAAAUUUAAAUAAAUAAUUAGAUCAACUUUUUUGCAGAAAAUUAUUAGAUGGACUUAGAAUUUUUUGCAGAAAAUAAUUAGAUCAACUUUUUUGCAGAAAAUAUAAUUUCAUAAGUCAAAAGACAAUAUAACUGUUCAAUGAUAGAUUCUUUAAAAUCUCUUUACCACAAGAUUAUUAAUAUAUUUUCACAAAGUGUGAACGAUCUCAAGAAACCAUAUAAGUAAUAUGAGAUAUAUAUGUAUUUAUACUAAUAUAAAAACUUAUAAAGAAAAAAUAAUUUAUUUUUAUGAGAAUGAAUUUACUUGAAUAAUUUAUUGAACAAAUAUUAAAUUAAAAAACAAAAAAUAAUCAACAAAUUUAUUGUAUAUAUAAUACAUAAUUUUUAUCGGUUCAGCUAAAAAAACCGUGUUUCAACGCGGGUAUUAUCCUAGUUGUACUUAGUAAAUAUUCCUUCAACGUUUAUGAGAUGAAAAGAUUUACUCCAACUUUAUUACCUUUCAUUUCUCCCAUUUCAACUUCAUUUUUUCAAUUUUCACCUUUUUACUCCACUACUUAACCAAUCACACUCUAGAUCGAAAUAAUCUGUCGUAGACUCUAGACCAUUUCUAAAAUAUUUUGCUAUUUUUCCUAAAAUAAAAAAAAUUGUAAUUUGGUUUACUCUAAUAUUUUUUUUCUAAAUAUCAAUCUCUAAAUAUAGAGCAAACAAAUAGAAGAGUGCUACAUUUACAGUUACAAAUAAAAAAAAAAUAUCAAUAAAAAAUAUCAAUCUUAACUUUAGAAAAAAAUAUUUGAGUAGCUUUACUUUUAAGUGGAGAUUAACUGCUAUUAUAAAAGCAAACUAGGUGUUUUCCUGCACCAUGUGCAGUGAUAAAUUUUUUAAAAGUUAAAUUAUAUUUAAAAUGAAAUUUAUUAAUAUUAUAUAUUUUAUUAUUUUUGACUAAUAUUUAAUAUAAAGUUGAUUAUUUAAGCA